rnacentral:rRNA from 1 species
AUUGAACGCUGGCGGAAUGCUUUACACAUGCAAGUCGAACGGUAGAGGGGGCAACCCCUCGAGAGUGGCGAACGGGGGAGUAAUAUAUCGGAACGUGCCCAGUCGGGGGGGAUAACGUAGCGAAAGUUACGCUAAUACCGCAUACGAUCUAAGGAUGAAAGCGGGGGAUCGGAAGACCUCGCGCGAUUGGAGCGGCAGAUAUCAGAUUAGGUAGUUGGUGGGGUAAAGGCUCAACAAGCCAACGAUCUGUAGCUGGUCUGAGAGGACGAACAGCCACACUGGAACUGAGACACGGUCCAGACUCCUACGGGAGGCAGCAGUGGGGAAUUUUGGACAAUGGACGCAAGUCUGAUCCAGCCAUUCCGCGUGUAGGAUGAAGGCCCUCGGGUUGUAAACUGCUUUUGUACGGAACGAAAAGGUCUCUCUUAAUACGGGGGGCUCAUGACGGUACCGUAAGAAUAAGCACCGGCUAACUACGUGCCAGCAGCCGCCGUAA